GGCUUAUAGUUUGAUCAUGGCUCAGGAUGAACGCUAGCGGCUGGCUUAUCACAUGCAAGUCGAGGGGCAGCAUUCGGGUAGCAAUACCUGAGAUGGCGACCGACGCACGGGUGCGUAACGCGUAUGCAACCUACCCAUAACAGGGGCAUAACACUGAGAAAUCGGUACUAAUUCCCCAUAACAUUCGAAGAGGCAUCUUUUCGGGUUGAAAACUCCGGUGGUUAUGGAUGGGCAUGCGUUGUAUUAGCUGGUUGGUGAGGUAACGGCUCACCAAGGCGACGAUACAUAGGGGGACUGAGAGGUUAACCCCCCACAUUGGUACUGAGACACGGACCAAACUCCUACGGGAGGCAGCAGUGAGGAAUAUUGGUCAAUGGACGCAAGUCUGAACCAGCCAUGCCGCGUGCAGGAAGACGGCUCUAUGAGUUGUAAACUGCUUUUGUACGAGGGUAAACUCAGAUACGUGUAUCUGACUGAAAGUAUCGUACGAAUAAGGAUCGGCUAACUCCGUGCCAGCAGCCGCGGUAAUACGGAGGAUUCAAGCGUUAUCCGGAUUUAUUGUGUUUAAAGGGUGCUUUAUGCGGUCUGAUCAGUUUUUUUUGAAAUCCCGGGGCUUAACUCCGGAAUUGCCUCUGAUACUGUUGGGCUAGAGAGUAUUUGCGGUAUGCGGAAUGUAUGGGUGUAGCGGUGAAAUGCCUAGAGAUCAUACAGAACAUCGAUUGCCAAAGCAGCUUACCAAACUAUAUCUUACGUUGAGGCACGAAAGCGUGGGGAGCAACAGGAUUAGAUACCCUGUACUCCACGCAGUAAACGAUGAUAACUCGCUGUCGGCGUAACCAGCNGUGGCUAAGCGAAGCUAUAAUUAU
rnacentral:rRNA from 1 species